UACAGAGGUCUCAAGCGUUGUUCGGAUUCAUUGGGCGUAAAGGGUGCGUAGGCGGCGCGGUAAGUCGGGUGUGAAAUCUCGGAGCUUAACUCCGAAACUGCAUUCGAUACUGCCGUGCUUGAGGACUGGAGAGGAGACUGGAAUUUACGGUGUAGCGGUGAAAUGCGUAGAUAUCGUAAGGAAGACCAGUGGCGAAGGCGGGGUCUCUGGGCCACUACUGACGCUGAGAAGCGAAAGCAUGGGGAGCGAACAGG
rnacentral:rRNA from 1 species